GUAGUUGUCAUAUUAUUUUAAAAACCUCAGUAAAAGAGGUCUUUGUUCACAGGAGACUAUUAAAGUAAAAGGAAGCUGUUCUUUUCCAUAUUAGAGAACAUUUCUGAUGCAGGUGGUUUUGAGAAAGUAAGUCUUUGCUUUUUCACCUUGACCUGACUGGGACCAUUUGCACAGGGAAUCCCGGAGGGGGUAUGUUUAGGGCCAAGAAAAUGGGCCUUGGGCCUCGGGGCUCUGGCUGCUCCUCCUUGCCCGCACUGAUUCAGUUCUCUCUGUGGGGAGGCAGUGGGAGUGACAGCCAGGACAGAUGAAUGGGGUGAAUCUUGGUUCUGGUUUUCGUAGGCCAUAGGGUCUUAAGCAAAUCAUUUAACCCGUUGAAGUCUCUGUUUCCUUGGCUGUUAAAAUAGGGUUUAAAGUGUUUACCGUAAAGGGCAGCUGUGAGGCUGUGAGAUGGGAGAAUCAAUCUACUGGUCAGAAAGCGGUUGUUGAAUGACUGUUCGGUGCCUGGGAUUUCUGAGUGAGCAAGGCUGGACCCCGAGCCCUGGGACCUCUGAAGUGAACACCACAGGGCCAUUUGUUUCCAAGGUGGCUAGAUCCAUCAGAAACUGAAGCCGCGGAGAACGCUCUCAGGGGCCUUUGCCACUUCUUGGAGUAGAAGCCGACAGAGACCUGUUUGGAAACGUCUCCUUCACACACCAGGUUGCUACCGAGGUCUUUUUCAUGAUGCAAUCAGAGCAGUUGCUUGUGUUUUUUAGUGCUUGAAUGAUUUUAGAGAUAAAGUCAGCUUCUGCUUCUUGACCGGGAGGCGUUGUGUGUGUGUGUGUGUGUGUCGGGCGAAGACAGGUCUAAGCUCUCCCUGAGAGGGGAAGAGUAGAUUGCACAAGUGGGGUUGGUUGGCUAUACAGAGAUUGCCCCACAUUUAAUCUGUUUGCCAAUGAGGAAGCCCCUUAUCUUCAAAAAAGGCAAGAAAGAAAGACUUCAUUUUCCCCCUUCUCUUUCUGUUCCAGUUGAAGACUAGGCUUUGGAGGUUUUCAAAGUAGACGGUGCUUGGAUGGGCGGGGAGAAGUAACAUUCUGCAAAUCGCCGUCAGAGGUCCUGAGGACACAGACCUACCUGGCUUGCCUUCCCCUUGCUGAAUGGCGUGUGCUGCAGCCGCCCACUGAGGGCUCUUUUCCCUGGGAUUCUGGACUUGCGAG
rnacentral:lncRNA from 1 species